GAUGAAGAACGUAGCGAAAUGCGAUACGUAGUGUGAAUUGCAGAAUUCAGUGAAUCAUCGAAUCUUUGAACGCACAUUGCACCUCUCGGUAUUCCGGGAGGUAUGCCUGUUCGAGCGUCAUUUGUACCCUCAAGCUCUGCUUGGUGUUGGGUGUUUGUUCCGCCUCUGUGUGUGAACUCGCAUCAAAACAAUUGGCAGCCGGCGUACUUGUUUCGGAGCGCAGCACAUUUUGCGAUCCAGAUCAACGUACAGCGGCAUCCAAGAAGCCUUAUUUAACGCUCUUGACCUCGGAUCAGGUAGGGAUACCCGCUGAACUUAAGCAUAUCAAUAAGCGGAGGA
rnacentral:misc_RNA from 1 species